UGAGGAAUAUUGGUCAAUGGGUGCAAGCCUGAACCAGCCAUCCCGCGUGAAGGACGACUGCCCUAUGGGUUGUAAACUUCUUUUGUAUAGGGAUAAACCUACCCUCGCGAGGGUAGCUGAAGGUACUAUACGAAUAAGCACCGGCUAACUCCGUGCCAGCAGCCGCGGUAAUACGGAGGGUGCAAGCGUUAUCCGGAUUUAUUGGGUUUAAAGGGUCCGUAGGCGGACUUAUAAGUCAGUGGUGAAAGCCUGUCGCUUAACGAUAGAACUGCCAUUGAUACUGUAAGUCUUGAGUAUAUUUGAGGUAGCUGGAAUAAGUAGUGUAGCGGUGAAAUGCAUAGAUAUUACUUAGAACACCAAUUGCGAAGGCAGGUUACCAAGAUAUAACUGACGCUGAGGGACGAAAGCGUGGGGAGCGAACA
rnacentral:rRNA from 1 species